rnacentral:rRNA from 1 species
AUUGAACGCUGGCGGAAUGCUUUACACAUGCAAGUCGAACGGUAGAGGGGGCAACCCCUCGAGAGUGGCGAACGGGUGAGUAAUAUAUCGGAACGUGCCCUGUCGUGGGGGAUAACGUAGCGAAAGUUACGCUAAUACCGCAUACGAUCUAAGGAUGAAAGCGGGGGAUCGCAAGACCUCGCGCGAUUGGAGCGGCCGAUAUCAGAUUAGGUAGUUGGUGGGGUAAAGGCUCACCAAGCCAACGAUCUGUAGCUGGUCUGAGAGGACGACCAGCCACACUGGAGCUGAGACACGGUCCAGACUCCUACGGGAGGCAGCAGUGGGGAAUUUUGGACAAUGGACGCAAGUCUGAUCCAGCCAUUCCGCGUGCAGGAUGAAGGCCCUCGGGUUGUAAACUGCUUUUGUACGGAACGAAAAGGUCUCUCUUAAUACGGGGGGCUCAUGACGGUACCGUAAGAAUAAGCACCGGCUAACUACGUGCCAGCAGCCGCGGUAA